rnacentral:rRNA from 1 species
UACAGGGGGUGCAAACGUUGCUCGGAAUUAUUGGGCGUAAAGCGCACGUAGGCGGUUUGUUAUGUCGGAUGUGAAAGCCCUUGGCUCAACUGAGGAAGUGCAUCCGAAACUGGCAAGCUAGAGUAUGUAAGAGGGUCGCGGAAUUCCCGGUGUAGAGGUGAAAUUCGUAGAUAUCGGGAGGAACACCGGUGGCGAAGGCGGCGACCUGGGACAAUACUGGACGCUGAGGUGCGAAAGCGUGGGGAGCAAACAGG